UGAGCAAUCUGCCCUUCUCUUCGGAAUAAGCGUGGGAAACCGCGUCUAAUGCCGAAUACGACCUCCUUUCGCAUGAUCGGAGGUGGAAAGCUCCGGCGGAGAAGGAUGAGCUCGCGGCCUAUCAGCUAGUUGGUGUGGGUAAUGGCCCACCAAGGCGACGACGGGUAGCCGGCCUGAGAGGGUGACCGGCCACACUGGGACUGAGACACGGCCCAGACUCCUACGGGAGGNAG
rnacentral:rRNA from 1 species